rnacentral:rRNA from 1 species
AGCGAACGCUGGCGGCAGGCCUAACACAUGCAAGUCGAACGAACUCUUCGGAGUUAGUGGCGGACGGGUGAGUAACACGUGGGAACGUGCCUUUUGGUUCGGAAUAACUCAGGGAAACUUGUGCUAAUACCGAAUGUGCCCUUCGGGGGAAAGAUUUAUCGCCAUUAGGGCGGCCCGCGUCUGAUUAGCUAGUUGGUGAGGUAACGGCUCACCAAGGCGACGAUCAGUAGCUGGUCUGAGAGGAUGACCAGCCACACUGGGACUGAGACACGGCCCAGACUCCUACGGGAGGCAGCAGUGGGGAAUCUUGCGCAAUGGGCGAAGGCCUGACGCAGCCAUGCCGCGUGAAUGAUGAAGGUCUUAGGAUUGUAAAAUUCUUUCACCGGGGACGAUAAUGACGGUACCCGGAGAAGAAGCCCCGGCUAACUUCGUG